CGUAGCUCAGCCGGAUAGAGCAUCGGCCUUCUAAGCCGAGGGUCGGGGGUUCGAAUCCCUUCG
rnacentral:tRNA from 1 species